CUACGGAAGGCAGCAGUAAGGAAUUUUGCGCAAUGGGCGAAAGCCUGACGCAGCAACGCCGCGUGGAGGAUGAAGGUCUUCGGAUCGUAAACUCCUGUCAGGGGGGACGAAAGCCGCGCAAGCGGUUUGACUGUACCCUCUGAGGAAGCCACGGCUAACUCCGUGCCAGCAGCCGCGGUAAUACGGAGGUGGCAAGCGUUGUUCGGAAUUACUGGGCGUAGAGGGCGCGUAGGCGGCUUGGCAAGUCAGAUGUGAAAGCCCCGGGCUUAACUUGGGAAUUGCAUCUGAAACUGCUUUGCUUGAGUCCUGGAGGGGGUAGUGGAAUUCCCAGUGUAGCGGUGAAAUGCGUAGAUAUUGGGAGGAACACCUGCGGCGAAGGCGGCUACCUGGACAGUGACUGACGCUGAGGCGCGAAAGCUAGGGGAGCAAACGGGAUUAGAAACCCGGGUAGUCCC
rnacentral:rRNA from 1 species